rnacentral:tRNA from 1 species
GCCUUCGUGGUUUAACAGUGGCACACUCGGCGCGUAUUCGAGAGGUUCAGGUUCGAGUCCCGGCGAGGGCA